rnacentral:rRNA from 1 species
CUUCUUUGCUGGCGACCGGCGCACGGGUGAGUAACACGUAUCCAACCUGCCUUUACUCGGGGAUAGCCUUUCGAAAGAAAGAUUAAUACCCGAUAGUAUAAUGAUUCCGCAUGGUUUCCUUAUUAAAGGAUUCCGGUAAAGGAUGGGGAUGCGUUCCAUUAGGUUGUUGGUGAGGUAACGGCUCACCAAGCCUUCGAUGGAUAGGGGUUCUGAGAGGAAGGUCCCCCACAUUGGAACUGAGACACGGUCCAA